UCUUCCGCAAUGGGCGAAAGUCUGACGGAGCAACGCCGCGUGAGUGAUGAAGGUUUUCGGAUCGUAAAGCUCUGUUGUUAGGGAAGAACAAGUGCCGUUCAAAUAGUGCGGCACCUUGACGUUACCUAACCAGAAAGCCACGGCUAACUACGUGCCAGCCGCCGCUGUAAUACGUAGGUGGCAAUCGUUGUCCGGAAUUAUUGGGCGUAAAGGGCUCGCAGGCGGUUUCUUAAGUCUGAUGUGAAAGCCCCCGGCUCAACCGGGGAGGGUCAUUGGAAACUGGGGAACUUGAGUGCAGAAGAGGAGAGUGGAAUUCCACGUGUAGCGGUGAAAUGCGUAGAGAUGUGGAGAAACACCAGUGGCGAAGGCGACUCUCUGGUCUGUAACUGACGCUGAGGAGCGAAAGCGUGGGGAGCGAACAG
rnacentral:rRNA from 1 species